rnacentral:rRNA from 1 species
UUAGAUCCUGGCUCAAGACGACCUUUGGCGGCGCGCCUAACACAUGCAAGUCGAACGAGCGAGAGAGAGCUUGCUUUCUCGAGCGAGUGGCGAACGGGUGAGUAACGCGUGAGGAACCUGCCUCAAAGAGGGGGACAACAGUUGGAAACGACUGCUAAUACCGCAUAAGCCCACGGGUCGGCAUCGACCAGAGGGAAAAGGAGCAAUCCGCUUUGAGAUGGCCUCGCGUCCGAUUAGCUAGUUGGUGAGGUAAUGGCCCACCAAGGCGACGAUCGGUAGCCGGACUGAGAGGUUGAACGGCCACAUUGGGACUGAGACACGGCCCAGACUCCUACGGGAGGCAGCAGUGGGGAAUAUUGCACAAUGGGGGGAACCCUGAUGCAGCGACGCCGCGUGGAGGAAGAAGGUCUUCGGAUUGUAAACUCCUGUUGUUGGGGAAGAUAAUGACGGUACCCAACAAGGAAGUGACGGCUAACUACGUGCCAGCAGCCGCGGUAAAACGUAGGUCACAAGCGUUGUCCGGAAUUACUGGGUGUAAAGGGAGCGCAGGCGGGAAGACAAGUUGGAAGUGAAAUCUAUGGGCUCAACCCAUAAACUGCUUUCAAAACUGUUUUUCUUGAGUAGUGCAGAGGUAGGCGGAAUUCCCGGUGUAGCGGUGGAAUGCGUAGAUAUCGGGAGGAACACCAGUGGCGAAGGCGGCCUACUGGGCACCAACUGACGCUGAGGCUCGAAAGUGUGGGUAGCAAACAGGAUUAGAUACCCUGGUAGUCCACACCGUAAACGAUGAUUACUAGGUGUUGGAGGAUUGACCCCUUCAGUGCCGCAGUUAACACAAUAAGUAAUCCACCUGGGGAGUACGACCGCAAGGUUGAAACUCAAAGGAAUUGACGGGGGCCCGCACAAGCAGUGGAGUAUGUGGUUUAAUUCGACGCAACGCGAAGAACCUUACCAAGUCUUGACAUCCCUUGACGAUGCUGGAAACAGUAUUUCUCUUCGGAGCAAGGAGACAGGUGGUGCAUGGUUGUCGUCAGCUCGUGUCGUGAGAUGUUGGGUUAAGUCCCGCAACGAGCGCAACUCUUAUGGUCAGUUACUACGCAAGAGGACUCUGGCCAGACUGCCGUUGACAAAACGGAGGAAGGUGGGGAUGACGUCAAAUCAUCAUGCCCUUUAUGACUUGGGCUACACACGUACUACAAUGGCGUUAAACAAAGAGAAGCAAGACCGCGAGGUGGAGCAAAACUCAGAAACAACGUCCCAGUUCGGACUGCAGGCUGCAACUCGCCUGCACGAAGUCGGAAUUGCUAGUAAUCGUGGAUCAGCAUGCCACGGUGAAUACGUUCCCGGGCCUUGCAAA